UAUUUGCAUAUUCUGUUUGGAGGAGAAACGUGAUCCGUAUUGGGUGCCAUGCGGCCAUUCAUUUUGUACAGAGUGCUUCCAGCAGUUUCUGGACCUGAGCACCGAUAAUCGUUGUCCGAUAUGCCGCACGGUUAUUCCGCCGGAAGUUGACCAUGAAGAUUCCGUGAUCACCAUUAACGCUAACGGUACAACUGUGACUGCAGUAGUGAACUUGGAAAAUUUCCGCUUAUCGGUUGAAUACACUUCGAACGACCAACAGUAAUGGAGCAUCGCAAUUUGUAAUGGGAAGGUACACUGAAACUGGGUUUAAGAUGGCUGGAAAGCUUCUAUGAUAUUGUGUUGUAAUUUUCGUGUAAUUUUAAUCUUAGGGCAGACUAGAUGGCUCAAUAUUUAAGUCAACGAGCUCUUUCCUCCCCAAAUCAAUGAAAACAGCAAGUAAGAACUUUGAGAAAAUCCGCGAUUAAGUGUUCAUUACUUGCAGAGCUGCUUUAAAACCAUUUACUCCAACUGGCAGAUAUAAUAUUUUGAUACUUUCCAUGUCCGUAAAAUGUGUUCCAACAAUUAAUCGCAAUUAAAUGAUAAACUGACAAGUA